CGGGAUCGAACCGCCGACCCUCUGCUUGUAAGGCAGAUGCUCUCCCAGCUGAGCUAAUCACCCUUCACUCUCGAAG
rnacentral:tRNA from 1 species